rnacentral:lncRNA from 1 species
AGGUGGCAGGAAGCAGCGUUCCAUCUGAAAACAUCCCCAUCACCCUGCUUCCCUCCCCCAGUGGGGGCAGGAGCUGACUCACUCGCUGGGCUCUACUGGGCUCCUUCGGUCCUGAUGGGGCUGUGUGCAUAGGAAUGUGCACGCGCACCCACACCUCCAAAACACAACCCCAUGCGGUCUCCACGAUGCACCAUCCCUGAAGGGGGUGUAUCUCCCAUGCCUGGAGCUGGGACCAAAGCCGUUCUCCAAAGGCUUGUUAAUUCUUAGACAGUCGGGUGUGAAUAUCGUUCUGACGUUUAUAGCGCAGUCUUCUCCACACUGCUGUCUCUCCCACGCAGAGCCACGCACCUGCCGGAGAGAAGGCAAGCAUCCCACAGCAGAUGUUUUGGGCCCUGGGAAUGCUUAAAUAUGUACUCUAUCAAAGGCGCUGUUACCCAAACACAGGACCCGAGGAGGGGGAGAUGAAGGGAGGGGCACUCUGGCAUCCCCAAGCCUUCUUUUGGAGAUGAGCAUGGAUGGCCAGAUAAAUCUCAGCCUUGGAUGAAAACAAAAGGCUAGUUUAGGAAAGAUGUUAGAAUUUAUAUUAAACACACACACACACAGUGCAACACGUGGCUAUGGAGUCAGAGAAACCUAAUUUGGCUCUCAAAUCUCCCAUCUCUAGCUGGGUGACCUUGGGUUGGUUGCUUAGCCUCUCUGAACCUCCUCACUCUGUAAAAUGGGGAUCUCAGAGGUAACUGCUUAGGGUUGUGGUCAGGUUAGAUUAGUGAUUCAUAAGCCAGACCAGUGUUGGAUAUUAUUUUCUUUAAUUGGGCUUCUAAGUCAAGGUGGCUUGUCAGGCAACUCUAUCCUGAUACUAGAAAUAAUUCAAUUUCUAGCUGCCCUUGAUCUCAGCUUCCAGCUUCCAAUUCUGGCAUACCUAAAAGUUGGGUCCACAGGUCGUCUAUCCUGUAGGUCCAACCUCUUCCCAUUUGCUAGGUAUCUCUGGGUUUGAAGGGGAAAUGUAUGAUGUUCAGUGCUUUUCUGGUCGCAAGUGGCAAAAAACAGGAACUUCUGGUUUGUAUAACUAGAAAGUUCAUGGGUAUGUCUGACUGCCAAGGAGGUUAGGCAGAGGGGCACAAAUGUCACCUGGAGCCGGUUUUACUCCAUCUCCCCACUUUCUCCAAGUUAUCUCCGUUCUCAGACCUGCUUUCCCUCAUCAUCACAAGAUGGCUGCCAGCAGCAUUGGGUCCACACCCAGCGGAGGAAAGGGAAGUCUCUGUCAUGGCAUCCUCAGCAAAUCUUGAGGCUUAUGCUGACCAAGCAGGCUGAAGUGACCUUAAACCAGGACUGGUGGCCUGAGAAGGUACCUCACUCAUUGGCUGGGACUUGGGUCACGUGCCGACCCUGGGUGGGAGGCCUCACCUCUCCAAACAAAACUCAGGCUUCUUGCUGGCAGAAGAGGCUGGAAUGCUGGCAGGACCUAUUGCUGCCAUCACCUAUGUGGAUCACCUUCAGGCUGAGAUCCAGGGGACCCAGCCUGUAGCCUUCCCUGUGGUGCCCUCCUCUGACCACUGGCGUGUGUUACAGUAAGUGCUGGAAAGAUGGAACUCCUGCCUGCUCAGGUGUUGUGAGCAUUCAGUGAGCUGAGUUCAUCAUGAAGAGGCAAUGCUUUAUGCCACCAAACCCAUUUCUACAUCCUGAAUGCAAGAGGAGAUUGCAUGUUCCCCCACCUCCCUGCAGGUAGGUGGGGCCACAGGAUUGAUUUCUGGCCCCUGGACCGGGGUGAAGGGGUGGGGGGGAAUGGUAGGCCUACUCAGGUCCAGGCCUUGUCCUCUCUUUUCCCCAUAUGUCAUGUGGAAACAGAGGGCUCCCAAGUGGUGGAGCCCCAAUUCCUCAGUCCCUGUGUGGAGGAGGGCCCCAGAGAUCACCAGCCUUAAAUUUUGUGAUGGCAACAAGUAAACCACAGGUGCGUUGGGUCAUUGGUUCCCAAGGAGGGUGGGGGUGUUUGGUGAUAUCUUAAGAUGUUAGAUUUUCAUGACGUGGGGUGGGGUGGGGUGGGGGAGAUGCUGCUGGCUUCUAGUGGGAAUAAGUCAGGGAUGCUGCUGCACAUACCAUCAUCCCAGACCAGCCUGAAUGGGCCCCUACAACAGUUACUCAGCCCCUAUGUCAACAGCACUGAGGUUAAGAAAUCCUGCUCUGAAAUAUGGGCAUGAGAGUUCCUGUUGUGGCUCAGCGGGUUAUGAACUUGACUAAUAUCCAUGAGGUUGCAGGUUCAAUCCCUGGCGUCACUCAGUGAGUUAAAGAUCUGAUGUUGCUGUGGCUGUGGCGUAGGCUGGCAGCUGCAGCUCCCAUUCCACCUCUAGCCUGGGAACUUCCAUAUGCUGCAGGUGUGGCUUUAAAAGGAAAAUAUAGGCAUCUUGAAAGAAGGGACUUGUUGAUUUUCUUAAAACCCUCCAUCACACCCGGGAAAAAUUCCAGACUCCUUAUCUUGGUCUGCAAGGCCCUGCAGGACCUGGGCCCUCCCACCCCUCUGACCUUACAGCUUCCUUCUCCCCUCCUCAUUUUACUCCAGUUUCUCUUGCCUUCCCUCUGAUCCUGUUUCAGACCCCACAGCCUUCAUCCUUGCUCUCCCUUUUUCCUUAAAUACUUUUCUUCCUGCUCUUCCAGUUUAAAUGUCACCUGCCCAGAGACAGCUUGCUGGUCACACAGUCCAUAUCCCAUCCCCACAACCACCUCACACCUCUGUCCUCAAACUACAUAGCUGUCAUUCUUCCAUGGCCAUGACUGUGAUUUACCACCAGGUCAUGUGCUGGUUACCUUGAGAGGGAGGGAUCUGUCUUCCUCCUGAAAUGCGAGGACAUGGGGACAAGCUCUGUGACCAUUUUGCUUAUUUCUGUCUCACCAGCACCUAGCAGAACAGCUGCAUGUGCGCAAGGUCAAAAAUAACUUUUGAAUGAAUGCAUAAAAGAAUCAUGGGUGGAAAGAGUGGAGUCUCUGUAGUCAGUAUCCCUGAAUGGAAUUCUGAUUCCAAGGCCACCUGUGCGUCACCUUUACUCUCCAAGGGGAUGAAAGUCCCCUUAUCUGUGAAAUGGGGGUAAGAUACCCCCAGCCCCAGGAUACUAUGCAGAGGAAAGGGAAUGUGUUAGCAGAGCACAGCACAGGCCCCUUUUAGCCAUGUGUUGACCAUAGAUGCCUGAAUAAAAGGAGGACAGUUCCCCUGUGUGCUGUUGUUUUGAGGGUGAACUCCUGAGGAGGAGGGAGAUGGAGUUGGGAUGCAAGAAAGGCACCUUCGAUGAAGAGUGGAGAACGUGUAUAGGUGAUCGGAGCCCUGGUUACCCAGGGAGCCUCUGCAUCUCCCUCUCUUGACAAUCCUUUCCCUCCUCCAUCCUCCAAGACCAUGAUCCCAGCUCCCUCCUGCCCAAAUCAUGGUCCCAGGCUGAUGCCUGGCCUCCCUGCCACCUGUCCCUCAGCUGCAGGAUCCAGGAAGGAUGCAGCCAUUGUUAGGAUCCCUGUUAUGAGAGUCACAGUCCACCCCUACUCUGUCUCUAUCUGUGUCCAUCUAGACCAUGCAGGAAAUGAAAGUGGGUAGCAGAGCGUCUGCAAUAAAUAGCUCAGACCCCAGGCGUGAGUGUCUGCAAAAAGGAAUGUGACCUGGGGCCUCUUUCUUUCAAGUAUAGCUUCAUAUCAGAUUGAGGGCCACAAAGGAACUUGGAUUGUUUCUACCUCUGGAUGUGUGAAGAGUGAGGACCACAGGCAGGUCCCAGAGAAGGUGGCAGACUAGGGGAGAGGUGGAUGCAGGAGCUCCAUCUGCUAGGAGAGGCAGAAGGGCUCCCCCAUGGCCUCUGGGGGCCACCUAACCUCCCUGAUUCCCUCGUCUAUAAAAUGGAGAUGAUGGCAGGCCCUGCCAGCUUAGUUUACUGUGAAAGUUAAGUGGGUUAAAGUGCGUAAGGCACCACUUGAGGGUGGGCUGACCCAGGUGACUUGCUUCCAAAGAACAGGCAUGCAGAGGAGUUAUAGGUAACUUUCUAAUGGAGACCUGGCAAAUCCUGCCCCAAACCAGGUGACCAAGGUUAAUGUCACCGAUGACACCUUGAUCAUGGACUUCUAGCUUCCAGAACUGCAAGAUAAUAAUUUCCAUUGUCUUAUGUCACCCAGAUAACACAGGACCAAAAGCAGGGAUCAGGGUACAAGGGCAAAUGUCUUUGGCUUCUCCAGCUUCCAUUUCUCUGCUUUCUGCCUCUUCAUGGCCUUUAAGGCCCUCCCUUGCUGAAUGUAGAUUCAGCUGCUCAUCACUCAGGAAUUCAAUACUGAGAGCCAAGUGUUGGGUAAAAGGAAAGACAGCUUUGCUGUGGAAACUGGAAAUCCUGGGGAGAAGGUGGACUCAUGACCCAAAGAACCAACUCCCCACUCCUCCCGGAGGGAGGGGCUGUGUGCUGAAGAGAGGGUUGUGGGGUGCAGGAUCAGCUUGUGGACAUUCUUCUGAUUGGCUGGUUGUGAGGUAAUCAGGAGUCAACAUCAUCAACCUGGUUCCAAUGGGUCUGGGGUCUACAUGCUUGUGGGCAGCAUACAGUUAACUUCUUCUACCUGGUGGGGGUUUCAGUAUCUGCAAAACUGCUCAAAGCAUAUGGCUCAGAAUAUUACCUACAGCCCGUAAGGAGGAACUAAAGGUCCUUGACUGUUUAAUGGCUAGACUAUUGUUAUCUUGUCUUGUUUGACUGUCUGCCUUUGUUUCCGCCUUUUCUUCUCUUAUUACAUUUAUUCUUUGGAACUCAGGGAAGGCCUAGAAGGCUACAAUUUUUCUCCAAACAAGAGGUAGGCAGAGGACCAUGGGGGGUGGGUGGGGCUGGUUUCUGUCCUGGGAGGGCCUCAUAGCAUCCUGCUAUGACACUCUGAGGGUUACCCACCAUGGCCUUGCCAGGCCCCUGACUUGCCCUCUGUGCCCCACCCUUGGAGACCUCACUGGGCUUCAGGCUCCCUCCUUCCCUCCCAGCUGCCUUUGUAUAUGCAGUGGGAUUGGGUGGGGUUGAACAUAGUAAAGUAUCUUCUCUUUCUCAUAAUAAGCUGCUGGGCUGAAGUUGGGAGGCAGCACUUGGGCCCUAUUUUUUGAUAGUUUUGUUAAGGCUGUAGAGAUCUGAGCACUUCUUGAUUUUAAUGAUGACUUCAAGCACAAAUCUCCCAGGCAGCAGAAAAACCCUCAUGCACCAUCCACUUACUCCAGAUUUGCAAGCUGAGGGGGGUGGGCUUUCCAGGGCACCAGAUGAUCUUUGUGCAGUGCCAGCUUGCCCCAUCAGGCCUCCCAGCAUUCACUUGGUUGCUCCUUCUGCCUGCAAUGACCUAAGGACUGCUGAAAUAUCCUGUUGCCAGCUACUAUCAGAAAUUUCUGGAGUUCCCAUCAUGGCGCAGCAGAAACGAAUCCGACUAGGAACCAUGAAGUUGUGGGUUUGAUCCCUGGCCUCACUCAGUGGGCAUUGCCAUGAGCUGUGGUGCAGGUCGCAGAUGCGGCUCGGAUCCCGCGUUGCUGUGGCUCUGGCGUAGGCGGGUGGCUACAGCUCCCAUUCGACCCCUAGCCUGGGAACCUCCAUAUGCCGCGGGAGCGGCCCAAAAAAAACAGCAGAAAGACAAAAAAUAAUAAUAAUAAUAAUAAUAAUAACAUAUGAGAAGCACCAGACAGUACCUGGCAUAUAGCAGAUCUUCAAAUGGCAUUUAGAUCUUUGCGAUCCUGGUAACCCAUCUCUUUUUUUCAGUGGGAAAACAUUCAUUUUAGUUCACUACGCCCUUCCCAAGAUGGCGCCAUUGCCACACC